AUUGAACGCUGGCGGCAUGCCUUACACAUGCAAGUCGAACGGCAGCACGGUAGCAAGCCUGGUGGCGAGUGGCGAACGGGUGAGUAAUACAUCGGAACCUUCCCAGUAGUGGGGGAUAAACCGGCGGAAUCCGAACUUAUAGCGCAAAAUACCUACGGGUGAAAACGCGGGAUCGCAAGAGCUUGUGCUAUCGGAGAGGCCGAGGUCGGAGUAGCUAGUUGGUGGGGUAAAGGCCUACCAAGGCGACGAUCAGUAGCUGGUCUGAGAGGACGACCAGCCACACUGGGACUGAGACACGGACCAGACUACUACGGGAGGCAGCAGUGGGGAAUUGUGGACAGUGGGCGGGAGCCUGAGCCAACGAUGCCGCGUGCGGGAAGAAGGACUUCGGGUUGUAAACCGCUUUUGUCAGGGAAGAAACGCUCCGGGCUAAUACAACGGAGUAAUGACGGUACCUGAAGAAUAAGCACCGGCUAACUACGU
rnacentral:rRNA from 1 species